AGUUGAUGACAUCUUUCCUAAAUCGCUUCAAGUUAUUUCACCUUUCCCGGAAAGCUUAGUGGGUAUGAAAUCUCAGGUUGAAAAAGUAACCUCAUUAUUAGAUAUGGAAUCAAAUGAUGUUCGCUCUAUUGGGAUUUGGGGUAUGGGCGGCAUAGGCAAGACAGAAAUUGCAAGUGUUCUAUAUCAAACAUACUGUCAUUGAUUUGAAGCUGAUUGUUUUCUUGGUAUUGUAUCAGAAAAAUGGACUUACAUGGCUAGCAGAAGUCGUCAUUCGCAAGCUCUUGGGUGAAAAUGUGACUCUUAACUAGUGAAUACGAAGGGGUGAUUAUUUUAAAGAAAAGGCUUCGCUGGAAGAAAGUUUUGUUCAUUCUCGAUGAUGUAAACCACCGAGAACAGUUGGAAUUUUAGUGGGAGGGCUAGAGUGGUUUGGUGGGGGUAGCAGAAUUAUUUUAAUAGCAAGAGACAAGCACCUGUUGAUUAAUCAUGUUGGGGAUAACGUGUAUGAAGUCCAACUAUUAACUGAUCGAGGAUGAAGCUAUUGAAUUGUUCAGUAGGUAUGCUUUUGGAGAAAAAUCAGCAAAGAAGGAUUUUAUGAAACUUUCAAGAGAAGUGGUGGAGUAUGCUGUGGACUCCCUUUAGCUCUUCAAGUUUUGGGUUCUUCUUUUUACAGAUGAGACAAAAAAGUACUGGAGAGAAAUAAUUGAUCGGCUGAAGAGAAUCCCUCACAAUGAUAUUCUAGGAAAGCUUCAGCUUAAUUUUGAUGGAUUGAACAAAGAUGAGAAGGGUAUAUUUCUAGAUAUUGCAUUUAUUGAUAUUGCAUGCUUGACUGGAUCUAGUUUUACUCUUUAUGUGGAACUAGUACUUGAGACUCCUGGUUUUCAACUGAUAAGAGUUUGCCUUAUCGAAAAAUCUCUGUUAUCCAUUGACAUAUAUAAUAGAAUCGUGAUGCAUAAUAUGAUAAGAGAUAUGGGUGCAAAUGUCAUACAGAAACAGUACGCUAACAGCAGAAUAUGGCUUCCCGAGGGGGGCUUGUGACCUUUUUAAAGGAAAGUUGAAAAGGUGGAAAGCCUAUGUAUCCCUUAUCAUUACGAUUUUGAAGAUGACCCGGUCAAUUAUAGCAAUAUUUUCAAGAGGAUGCAAAGCUUACAAGUAAUCAUAAUUCGUGAUGGAACUGUUAGCUCGGACGCUAUCUCUUAUCUUCCUUCCAGUUUGCUGUUUAUUGAGUGGGAGAAUUCAGUACAGGCAGGUAACAUGUUGGGGAAUUCACCUGGAGUUGGAGAAUAAAGAUAGGAGAUGGAGAAGGAAGCAACGAGCGGUGCAAAGUCUCAAACUCUUUCCAGUUCUGCGAAAAGAUACUACAAUGACUACUGAAAUUGGUGCUCUAUGGUACUACUUGAGCAACCAGAAGCAGCACGCACUUCUGGACAUUUGCAAGCAUCUGCUGAUCAUAACAUGACAACAGACAGGGAACUACAUUUGGGCAAUGAGAAUAAAGAUCUAGAGAUGGAUCAAGCAACAAUGGCAGUUCAAAAGGAGCAUGAGUCUCAGAAUGUAGAGCUGACUAGAGUUUGUGAUAGCCCAUCAAGGAAAAUGGGCGAUGCUUCAAGAAAGAGAAAGAGAAAUAGAAAUAGAAACAAAAAGAGAAAGACAGCACACAUGAUUUUGGUUGGAUCAUGAGAAACCUCUUUCUUUGCUAGCAAAAGUUGGUCAUUAAGAGGAGAAAAUCGAGGAUGCAUCUGUCCAAUCAGAUAUUCAAAACAAAGAACGUGUAAUGAUGGAGCAGUUACUCAAACAUCAAAACCAAGCGUAAGGAGCUUUGCAAGUGAAGGCUUUCAAGUUACAUGAUUAGCUUUUGGCAUUUCAAGGGACAUGGCAAAAAAGGAAGAAACUGAAAGAUAGUUUCAAGAGAUUGGUGAACUGAGAUGGUUGUAAUAUGGGGACAUGGAAUCAUACAUAAUGGUGACUUUUCAUUUCAUACUCAGAGACCUGAUUGGAUUGCUAAAAGAGCUGGAUUUUGAGGAUCAGUCCGGAGAGUUGCCAAUGGUUACGAGAUUGUAAUGGGAUUGCUUAUAUUUACUUCAGUUGCUUUACUAGCAUGCUUUAGUCUGCCGUAAUCUGAAUUCCAAACCUGGAUGUUGUUUAACCAACAAUUCAACGGAUAUCUCCUAAUUGUUUGUAAUCUUUGUGGAUAUAUAGCUGAGAUCUCAUUUUCUCUAAACAAAGGACUAAAUUUUCAAGCUUGAAAAAUUCUUCAAUACUGACAUGUUUACUUACAUCGUAAAUAAUUAUGUAGUGCCGAUUGCAGCAUUUUUGGGGGAGUUAAUAGUCAUAUUGGCUAAUUGCACCACAUGUUUUUACUCCUUUCUUCUUGUGAACUUUGGCAUUUGUAUUGGGCUUGCUUGACUUAGUAUCUCAAGCCAUGAUGGGCUUUCCAAAUCAUUUGUAUUCAGAUGAUUUGAUUUGCACCAAUGGAAACCAUAAAACGUCUUACUCAAGAAUAGAGGGAUACCAACGUCUUACACAAAAAAUAGAGGGAUACUAUUAGAGUUUUUUUUUUUUUUUUUUAAUUUUUUUUAAAAUGAAUGGAGUUUUUCUUUUUCUUUUUCUAUCCUAUUCAUGAGUACUGAUUACAGAUAUUGUAAGAGUCCUUUCUUAUUGUUGUGCUAGCUCAUUAUCUAAAUGAGUUGCACAUACAUCUGAUUAUAUAUUCCUCGACGUUGAGGGCACUCCUUAA